rnacentral:lncRNA from 1 species
GAGGAUUACGUCAUAUCAUAAUCAACAAGACAUGGGCCGUUUUUGUACAAGAUAGCUCACAAGACAUUGGCCGUAUUUUUUCACAGGCCUAAACUCAGGAAUAAGCGCGUGUCUUUCACGUUUAGAGAACCUUGCGAACCAGACGCGCGUGGAUGCGGUUUCGCCAUAAAACACUCUUUAGCAGAGAAGCGAGAGUCAAUGAAGGUCCAACGGUCAACUUUUUUAGCGGUGACCGGAAAAUCAAAUCUUCGUCACUUUCAUUUGUCUUCCUCUCUGUUCUCUGCGUCUUCAAAAUAAAUAAAAAUCGUUUCUUUUGCUAUUGCAGAGAAAAAAAUCUGAACUUUUUUCUAUAAUUUUCAAAUGCGUUAGGGGGAUAAUGUUUUCACAGUGUCUUAAUCGAUUUCAGCGAGUACCCAUUUCUUCCGAGAAAGAGUCACGAGGCUUUGUAUCCAAAUUGCUCAAGUCCUGCAUCUCCAAUUCAGCAGAUUAGUGUUUCUUCUUCUGCUAAAGGAAUCGAAAAAUUCUCCUUUUCCAACAACACUCGUCCGCACCUCGGAGAUGAGAUGUCAAAGAAAGAGCAAGAAAAAAUCUUCUUUUUACAUUCUGAGAGAUGAUCUUUUACAUUUCACUUGUGAUUAGUAACAAAGCUAGAAAGCUUGAUGCUUUGCUACCAAGAUUAUAAAGUCACUGAUUUGGUGAGAGUGUGAUCUCUUUUACAUUAUCUCUCAAUUGGGUUUUUUAUGAACAGGAUUUUUUUUUUUUUUGAACAAACGAACAGGAUUUUAACCUUAGAACUUUUGUUGUAUGUUAGGCUACAUGUGGAGGUUGUCAAAGUGCACACACAGCUGCAGUUGGUAAAUGUUUGAAUCUUUUAGAGGAUUAAAUGAAAUUAGGUUUUGAUUGAAAUAGAAACCAGGUGCUUGUAUUGCAGCUGUUUCGUGUGCCGAGAGGGGUCUAAGAUCAUUUGCUGCUGCGUGGAGAACAGCCCGAGGUUUUGACUGGUUAUAACCUUGUUUCUACUAUGUAUUGAAAUGUUCAGUAUAUUCCGAGAUCGAGGUAUGCCAAUAGGGAGGAAAUGCUGAGAACUUACGCUGAUCUGGUCGCUGGGGAAGACGGUUCUGUCUUAUGGGCUAAAGACAUUGUUGAGGGACCUGAGACUAGGGAUGUUGCAAAAAUGGAUGAUUGUUCUAGUUCCAAAACUAUUGGUAGAAAUGUUUUGAUCGUUAAUGAAGGUGUUGGAGAUGCUCUUGAAUUACUCGGUAAAGAUCGAUUUUGGAUAUAGUUUAGGUAGUGGACCAGAUAACUGACCAAGUUUAUCGUUUAACAAGGGCUUUGUCACAACGCAGGUAUGUUUCUGUUAGUGCAGUACUUGUGUCAAGAUCAUUUACUCGGGAAGAAGAGGCCGGUCAAAUUUGUAGUUGAUGCUGGAACAACUACUGUGGGCUUAGGAGUUGCAGCUUUGUCUUUAGGGUUAGGCUUUGUUCACAAGAUUUAUCUAUACACGUUGUGUCUGUAUGUUUUCAGUGUACGUAAGCUUUUAGCUUCUUGAUUAGUAUCUCACUUAAAAUCUUCUCAGGCUUCCAUGGGAGAUCAAUGCAGUGAUGUUAGCUGAUACACUCGAAAAUUACAGAAGACAUGAAGAUCGCUUGAUAGCAGAAUUUACGAGGCAGUUUUCUGCAUCGGUCUUCUACAACAGCUUGGAUGUGAAUCAUAUGAUCAAACGGGUAGAUCGUCGACAUACGAGAAAGUAUGCAUGCAACUUCUUCUGUUUACAAUUGAAGAUAUACUUAGAAUGAUCAUUUCCACCAAGUUUGAAGCUUAAUAAAGUGGUUGGACUGAUUGUUUUUAGAUCAGUUAACAAUCUCCUUUUGUUCUUGCAGGUUUGGGAAGGUCUUGGAAGGAGAAGUGGAGAUGUGUCGGAAAGUUGCACAGGAGACUGGAGUUUUGGUGGAUCCAAUGUACACUUUAGCUGCUUCGGAGACAGGAAUAGAGCUUGCGCAGGAUGAGAAAUCCAGCAUUGUAGUGAUGCUUCACACUGGAGGCACCCUGGGGAUGUUUGGUCUUGCUCAACGCUACAAAUCUUGCUUCACUAAGUUCAACGACUAGGAUAUAAAUUCUCAAACUUAGAGCCAGAAGUCUAAAGAUAGUUACUUUAUAUCUUCAAGUGUUUAGCAAUGAAAAUAUGCAGUACGUAUGGAUGCAAAGGAGCAAAUAAGUAUGAAAGAAAUGAAUAGAUGCAUGAAUAUAUGUAUGUAUAGAUGCAUGUAUGUAUGUUAUGUGUGUGUAUGUGUAUGUUUAUGUAUGUAUGUAAUGCAUGUAUGUUAUGUGUGCGUAUGUGUAUGUUUAUGUGAUUUUUGCCGGUGUUGUGUCUGGCUUCGAUAAGUGAUUUGGAAGAUUCCACGAAGAAUCCUAUGGUCUAUGAAAUUAGACCACAUAUCACAUCAGACUGUGAAAUCUGCAACUACUUCAGAUGAUAAAUUGACUUUAAUGUCAGAUUCUAUGACCAUGUGCUAUAUUGAAGAGAACAUCAAAUUAUUGAAGCAAACUCACAAGAUCAAGCAUAAGUUAAAGAUCGAGGACAUAUACCUUGGGAGGAACUUGCUCCUCUGCUUUGUGAGUGAGUAGUGAGUACACUACUAACUUUGUGAGUAGUGAGUACUUCUACGCAUUAAAAACAAUAUAUACUAUAGAGUGAACACUUAAAGAAAAUUAGAGUUGAAAUUACUAUAUUGAAGAAGACUUACCUCACGAUAGACAAAGCCAGUCAAAAGAGAUGGGUAGAUAUUCUCCAUAUACAUAUGAUCAGUUGCUUAAAAAUAUCAGCACUAUCUAUCUCAUCGCCUGAAAAUUAUUAUCCUGACCACCUAUCAUAGACAAAGCUAUAUCAUUAUCACAGAGCUUAGACAACAGAAACGGGAACUAUAUAUCGAAAGAAGAGAACAAAAUUGUUUGUGACUGGUUUAAGUGAUGGCCUGCUAACUUAGAUGCUCACUUUUUUUGUGAUUGGGCCUGCAGAGAUUUGAGCUCAACAUGUAGUAGAUACAUAGAGUAGCUUGUGUAUCAACAAGAUAGAUUGGCAAAUCAAACUCAUCACUUACCGUACAACCAUUUCUAAAGAAAUUUCAUGGUCCUCUGCUUUGUGAGUUAGAUCUAGAAGCCCAAUUCUGAGAUCAACCAUUCAUUCAGAAAACAUAGUAAAAUGAACUCUAAGAAAAUAUACGUUGCAACUACUAUAUAUUGACAAAGACAUACCCCAUGAAAAAAGUCUAGACUGCCCAAAGGAUAUGGGAUUUUCACCAUAUAUUGGCAAGUGAUCAUUUAUCUCAAAGUCCAGAAAUACUUGAACACCUAUCAUAGACAAAGAUAUAUCACUAUCACAGAGUUUAUGCAACAGAAACGAGAACCAUAUAUCAGAAAGAGGAGAGCAAAGUCCUUUGAAUUUUUAUUUUUUGUUUUGUGAUUGGAUCAGCAAAAAAAAUAUCAGAUUUGAGGCCAUCAAUUAGAUAUGCAGAGUAAACCUGCAGAAACCAAAAACAUUCAGCAGAGCACUUUUCCCUUUUACAUACAACAACUUAAGCAAUCAAGCAUAAACCUAUUCCUUAGUUAAGGAAACAAGUAAGAAAGCCAGUUUAAGAAGUAAGUAAGAAUGGAAGAAAUGAACAAGCACACAAGCAUGAAACGGAAACAAGAAAGUAUAUAUGCAUAUAAAAAAAACAUAUUAAGGGACAAAAGCAAGUAAGUAAGCAAAGUAAAAGGACUGAAGCAAACAAAAAGCUGGUAACCGCACAAAAUAAAAAGCCAAGCAACCAUGAUGUCUGUAUUUAUUCGAUGCAGGCAUACUUUUACUGUUUCAUUAAGUGAUUUGAAAGAAUCCUAUAUGUAAGCUCACAUAGUCACACUAGACUAUGAGCUCUCUCACUGCAAAGGAAAGAGCCAAUAACAUCAAACCGUAAGAAGAAUAUCAAAAGAAGAAUAACGUACCUCGAGAAAUGCAAGACCUUUCUAGGGAAUGAGGCUGUGUUUCUUUCCACAAGUUAACACACUAAAGAAAUUUAAUCAGUAUAAAUGAGAAACCAAACACUAGAAUCAGUCUCUAAAACAAAUAUACAGAUUCAUAUGCAUUGAGAAGAAAAAGCCAGUUCUUUAGUGAUUUCUUCACUUCUUUAAUUAAUUCAUGAAUAAUAUCCCACAUUUAGAAAACAGAACAUUUAAUCACAUGUAGACUGAUCAAACUACAUACCUUUCAAGGAAGAGUUAAUAUAUGAAUCCAAAACAUACCUAUACUAUUAAAUAGUAGUUAGCAAAUAGGAAAUCUUAAAGAAGCUAUACUAACCACGAAUAAUCUCAUUUUUGGCUACGCUAUUUAAAAGGUGAUACGGAUACUAAUAUAGCACCAACAUAAGAAUUGUAGCGAAGAGAACCUUCAGUGACAGCCUUCUUGUCAUAUCAUUUGGAGAUGUCAAAAAGUCUUUUCAUAAAUAUCAAGAACUCAAAGAAACAUAAAUAAUCCGUCAGCUAAAGGAGGAGAAGGUUUUUAAAUGUUUCUUUCAUUUUGUUAUAGGAUUUAUAUAACCAGGAAUAGACUUCUCAUGUCUCCAUCUAAACCUUAAAACAAUACUGAAGCAAACCUCAAUAAUGAACGGUGAGAAACUCGGAGACUACAAAGUCAUGUUUUGUGAGAAGAUCCUGCAAGAGUGGUAAGAAAUUGAUGUAUAAAUUAGCAAAAUCCUAAACAAAGUCGAAGUCAAUGAUAAAGUGUAAAAUAACCUUAAAUGAUGAAAAGGAAUCAGAAGCAUAGCAACAUUAAAGUUUGACAAUUCCUCAUAGCAGGCAGACUCCAAAAUAUAACUGAAGAGGCACUACAAAAAUUUGACCAUGUCAAAAAGAAUAAAUCUUGACUAUUGCACGUACAUGAACUCAUUAAAACAGCUUUGGAAAACACAUUGAUAACCUUGAAACGGAAAAGCAAAAUAUUGGAGUUAUCUUACUUAGCUAGCCUUGUGAAUUCUAUACUUCUACAAGAUAACAUUUUCAUUAGAACUUGAAACCAAAUAUGUAAGUCCUCGUUCUUAAAUCAACUACCACCACACAUUAAGAAUAAUAUAUAGUAAAGAGUGAACUUUUACGAAAAAUGAUAAGUUGAAACUACUACUUACCUCAGAUAGCCGAAGACAGUCAAGACAGAUGGGUAGAUGUUCUCCAUCUUCCAUAUAUUGAUGCAGAAAAAUAUCGGCACUGAUCAUUUAGCUCAUUGUCUAACCAUUAUCCUGAUUAUCUUUCAUAGACAAAGCUAUCAUUAUAACAGAGCUUAUACAACAGAAACGAGAACUAAAUAUCGAGAGAGGAGAACAAAGUUCGUUGUGAAUGGUUGAAGUCAUGGAGUGCUAACUUACAUACUCUUUUUAUAAUUGGGUCAGCACAUAAGUUUCACACUGGAAGUCAUCAAGUAGAUACGCAGAGUAAACCUGCAAAUAUUUUUUUUCAUCAGAUCAUUUAUCCAGUGUAAACACAACACACCAAACAAGUAUGCAUUAAACCAUCAACAUCUUCCCAUUCAAAGUAGUUCGAACACAUCUCCAAGGAUUCCAAGAACGAAAGUCUUCAUAAUAAAUCAGAAUCGCGGGUCAAUCUGCACACAUCAAGCUAAAAGAAUAAAGGUAAUUGUCAACGGUUUGUUGUUAUUGACACAUUUUAUGUAAGAUUCCCGCUGAAAGAACUAUGGUCAUCAUUUCACACUUACCCUUACCAUUUUUUGUAAUUUCUCUCUAUCUUGCCUUUUGAACAACAACGUUUGCUAUGUCUGCAUACGUAAUACAACAGAACUGUUUGGGAAGUAAAUAAUUUAGCAGAGUAAUCUACAUCAUGCAGUUUAAAUGAAGAAUCCAUUAAAAAAAAAUACCAUGAAGAAACCCCAACAAGCGAGCUAGAAAGUAGUGUAAGGAGAGGAUACUCACUUGUUACUUGCUGGAGAAGAGAGGCAAGAACUUCAAACUACAUGAGAAACAAAACUACAGCAUAAAGAUUGAAGACAUACCAUAUGAAGUCAAAGGUGAUAACUAAUAAGCAAGAGAUCAAGAUCAAGUUGAUAGGACAGAGAGGGCUAUUAUAUUCAUUUCACACCUUUUAUCGAUAGAGAUUUCCACUUUAGUCUGCAAGAAGACAGUGUGGAAAGCUGAUUUCAAUACAAAUUGUUAGGCAACAGAUACAAAAGCAUUGAAAACUGCAAACCUGAAAACAACUGAAGAAUUCAUAUUUAAUUUUUACCUUCACAUUAAUAAUGUCAAAGUUGGUUUGGCUGUCAUGAGUAGUCUAAGAACUACAAGAAAUGGUUGGUUAGCAUCAUAACUGUUGAGGUGAUAUUUUGGGUAAAACUUGGAACUAAAUAUGUCCUAAUAAGUCCCUUCUGUUGUAUGUAUGGUUUUUGGUUCUUAUAUAAGAUUUACGAAUAUAAAAUGAAGUAUUAGAAGACAAACCUAAGAUCGUAAGAAAUUAACUUGGGUACAAACAACCAACAAGAGAGAGGCAAAUCAGAAUUCAUUACGCACCAUACAAACUAUUCUAAAGGAGUUAUAUACAUCUCCUCUGCUUUGUAUGUUAGAUCUAGAAGCUUCUUUCUGAAAACGACCAUUCAUUCAAAACACAUAGCAAAUUGAAUUCUAAGAAACAAUAAGUUGAAACUACGAUAUUGACAAAGACAUAUCCCUCUAAGAGGCGUCAAAGCAGAUGGAUAGUUUUUCCAUAUAUUGAUACUAGAAAGAUUUGCAAGUGAUCACUUACCUCAGAAUCUAGUGACUAUUUUGACACAUUUCCCUCAUCAUUAUGGCAGAGUUAUGCAACAAAAACGAGAACCAUUGAUCAGAAAUAGAAAGAAAAAAUCUCUGUUGUGAAUACUUAUAGUGAUAGAGUGCUCACUUACAUACUCCUUUUUAUGUGAUGCCAUCAACUAUAUUUGUAGAAUAAACCUGCAAAAAGAAAAAGAAAAAACAUUGACUUCCUCCCAUUCAGAGUUUUCCAAGAACGCAACUCAUAUGAAUAGAUUAAAGUCAUGGGUCAAACGAGGGAUUGUUAUCAAAAGAAGAAGAACGUACCAAGAAAGACAAGAGAGUGGCAAAUCAAAUCCUUCACGCACCAUACAACCCUUUCUAAAGAAGCGAUGUUCUGAAAUCAACCACACAUUCUGAAAACAUAGUAAAAAUGAACUCUAAGAGAAGAUAAGUUGAUUAGUUCAAAAAAAAAAAGAGAAGAUAAGUUGCAACUACAAGAUAUAGACAAAGACAUACCUCAAGAAAGUCUAGACCGCCCAAAGGAUAUGGAUGUUUCUUCCAAAUACUGAUGAUAAAAAAAAGAAGGCAAAUAAGCAACAAAGUAAAAGAUGUAUGUAAAGAAGCAUGAUCAAAUUAAGCAUGUAAGCCAAGAAGCAAGCAAAUUAAGAAAGCAAGUAUAAUAUGUAUUUAUGUAUGAUUCAUUGUACAUGAAUGAUUCUAUGCAAGUGUACUGUUUAUUUAAGUGAAUAAACAGUUCUGAUGUAUUCCCACAUUGUUAUACUUCGACUAAUAACUCUCCCACUGCAGAAGAACAGAGAAAAUAACAUCAAACUGUAAAGAGGAGACUAAGACAGAGGAAAAGGCACAAGUCAAUACACUAGAGAAACCAACACUAAAACCAGUCUCUAGAAGUCGAAAACAGAUCUAUGCAUUAAAAAAAAGAAAGAAAAAAAGUCAGUAUUCAUGACCAAUAUAUAUCCCACACUUACGAAAACAGAACAUCGAAUCUGAUGAAACAGAACCAAAUUAGUUUAAAACGUGUUUCAGAUGAUUGACUAAACCAAGUUUUGGAUGGAGUCAACUCGAGAAACCAUACCCUCUAGAGAGAGUUUCUGAUAGUUUCCACGUUCGUGUACAGUACAAUACCUUACAAAGUGGAAACAAGAUCCUUAAAACAAGAUCCAUAUAACAAGAGAGAGAGAGAGAGAGAGAGAGAGAGAGAGAGAUGAUAAAUAGAUGAACAUAAAACCCUAAAAAAACCCUAAAGAAACCUGAUCGAAUCGCUGCAAUUUUCUCUGGAAGCCCUUGCAAUUUCCUCUGCCGUCAAUAAGAAGACGAUGAAUCAGAGAGUAACGCUGUUAUAUAAAAUCAAAACAAGUUAGCAUAUAUAAAUCGAGAUUCCAAUUCCGCAUAAUCUAGGGUUUGAAUUUGAUUGGGAAUAGUAAAAAUCAAACGAAGCAAACCCCAAAACAGGGUUUUGAAUUCUAAGCCAAGGACGCUCUUCGAACGGCUCUCUCCUGAUUUUGAAAUUCGUCUCUCGAUGUUUCCGUUAAAUAGAAACUUUUAGACAUCAUCAUCCUUUUUUCCCCUCGAUAGAAAGCCCAAGUAUAACCAUGAAAAAGCCCAAUAAAAUGGCCCAUUAGAAAAAAACUAAGCAAAGCGGAAACUUUUUUUCUCAUUGUUCAUAUAAUAAAUUUUUAUGAGUUUGGUUUAGCAGACCAAUCAUUGAACUCUUACGGUUUGGUUAUACUGAAAUUUUGCUCGGUUAGAGUUUGGUUGUGUUUUUCAAUUUGUAUAUGGAAAUUUGAUAGAACAAAAUAAUGUUUUUGUUGGAUGGGUAAGUAUUAAGUAAGAUAUGUUCAUGUAAUGAAGUUUCUUAUAAAACGAUUAAACAAAUUAAAUUAAACUACAACUAGGGUUAGGAUUGGUUUUGAUUAGGGUUUUGUUUGGUCACUACUUCGUGUUUAACAAACAUUUUCUUCACUAUCCUACUAUGAUAUCUACGUUCUAAACAAUAUAUUAUAUAUUUGCUUGUUAAGAUCUUUCGUUCUUAUAGUAGUAUUAACAAUCUAGUGGUUUUGUGUGAAUUUUUAAAAAUCAAAGGACAAGUGACAAAAUUUCAUGGCAAUAAAUUACAUGUAAUCAUGAGUUAUAAGAUUUCAUCACAGAUUUUUUUUUUGUCUGAUACUUAAGACAGUUAUUCCAAAACCAUGUUCGAAGACGCAUAUGCAAGUUUUGUUAUGGACCAUUUAAUAUCAAACAUUCGUGGUGAAAACAUAUCUUAUAGAUUGUUUAAAACCAAGAGAACAGAUAAAAUUAAAGAAGUCUCACUAAAUGAUUGUUGAAGUGUUUUAAGUACUCUUUCUUGGUGCUACAAUAGGCAUGGAACCAGUCUUCAUUAACCGUAGAAAGCUCAAUGCCGAAAGCCGCAAAGCCUGCGAGUGUCCCGAGGGAUUGCCAUAAACCGUACUUACGUGCCACCAACCGUACUUACGUGCCACCAACCUAGAGGGGCGACGUACGGGCGAGCCGUAUGAAGGCGCAAUGAACUAGAUUGAAGAAGUCCAAGCUUUGACUGAUUCUCUUGGAUGCACAUUCUUGAGGCUUUUUCAUUUUCUUUACUUGAUAAUAUUAAAAGGUAAAAAAAUUUCUCCUUACAGAAUACAAUAUACAAUAUAUAUAAAAUUAAUUUUGUUAAACAACCAAACAUAACUGGUGACAAACAAAAACAUCAUAUACAACUGCUUUAGACGCAUGUAAUCAAAUAAAUUUUAUUCAUCUUUAACACUUUUAAAGAGGACCCGACGCAUUGUUGGUUGAGAACCAUGCAUGCACUUUUCAGCUCAAUAGAAAGCCAUAUCCACGACUCUCCUCCUCUCAAGAGGGUCAGUUUCUUCUUCAAUAACAUUCAACGACAUCAUCAUCAUCUCAUUCAAUGAUGUAGUCUAGAGCAGAUGUAACUUACACUCUCCCUGUUUUUAAUUAGUUAUCGUUUAAAGUUUUUGCACAAAAGUUUAGAAAACAAUUAAAGUUUCAGUUUUAUUCUUAUUUAUUAUAUUUUCUAUUUUUUUUUAUUGUUCAAAGCAUUUAAAAAACUAGAAUAAAGUUGGAAUUUUCACCCAAUUAUUGCAUUGAACAUCCAAAACGACAACUAUUUCGAAACAAAAUUUUAACUCUAGAACGACAACUAAUUUAAAACGGAUGAAAUAUGUUUUAUCAUUUAUUGUUUAUGCAUGCAAAACUAUAACAACCCUGCCUCAUAAAUUUUUUCUUGUCAUUAAAUGUUCAAACAUUAAAAGACAAGGUUAAGGAUAAGAAAAAAGCACAGCUAUUGAAAAUCUGAACAGCUUGUUGUUUUUCAAUAUCUUUAAAAUUGUCUUUUACUGUUUGAACCUCUAACAACAACAUAAAUUUAUCGGUUAGUGUUGUAAUAGUUUUGCAGACAGGCGACACAACAAAUGAUAAAAAAAAAAAUUGUUUCAUGACAAACUCUUUUGUCACCUUGCAGACCAGUAUUGUAAGUACUUUAACAGCUAUUUUCUUCAAGUACGACCAACAACAACAACAAAAAACAUAUUUAGAAAUAUAGGUUUUUUUAGUUACCUCUCCAUUGUCUAGCCUUCCUUGAUACAUCCUUGAUAUUAUUCGUAGUGGUGCAAGUUCGCGAUAUGAGAAAAUCUUGACAAAUGUAUAAGGUUUCUAAAACUCUUUCUGGUUUGGCUACAAAGGAACAAAACACCACAAAUGAGAUCGAGACUCUAUUAUCACAUGUGAUCUGGAUCAAUUAAGUGCGUUAAAGAGACAUCAGUUAACCAAAUAAACAAAUCUUUCAACAGUGACGACUUAUAUAAUCCAUCACUAUAAAACUCUCUAUCAUCAUUAACUUUAUAAUAAUCUAGCUAAUCAAUGGUAUUAAUUAAAGACAUCUCAAGAUUAAUAAAUAAAGAAGAAAGAUUCAUGAGAGGAAGUUAGAGAGGAACCAGAAGAUAUAUGCCGAUGAUGAUGACUUGUCACGUUUUGGAUUUCUUAUCAGACUUGUCUUUGAGAUCCAAAACACAAGCAAACAAGCCAUCAUGGUAUCUCUUUGAAUCAAAUCUCAAGGAAAACAAUCAGAAACAUGAUAGAGAAACGGAAGAUAGAAAUAAACACAAACACUCUAUGGUUUGAGAUUCAGACACGACGACAGAGAUAUAAGGAACCAUACAAACCCACAAAACAAGAUCAAGAGACUCGAGUUUUGGGGAUGACUCUCGAUGAAAAGGUGAUGAUGAUAAGGAAUUGAGAAAGAAUGAGAUUUGGGGUCAGAAACGAGAGGGGUGUAUAUAAAACUAGAGGAUUAGAGAUAUGAUCAGAUUUGGAUUACAGCUAGCAAGAGGAAAUCAAAAGUUUGACUGUAGGGUUUUUGAUAAGGUAAGCAUAACAAAAGACACGUAAUCCACAAAGAUAGGCAUGUGUUUGCUCUUAUAAGAUCAUCCUCAUUAGUUAUAGUAUCUUUAAAUGUAAAAAUAAUAUUUAAGAUUUGUGUCUACUAAUAAAGAUUUAUGUCUAUACACAGACACUUUAAAUAACCACAGUAGAAACUAAAAAUAUAUAUUAGAUCUAAUAUUAAAAUAUUAUUAAGACAUAAAUAUAUUAGAGCCCUCAUCAGAGGGAAACAUAUGUGAACGUUGUAUUAAGACCAUGGGCAUUGGCAGGUCCCAUGGUCAGUCCCUCAGCUUUUUAAGAAAAAAAAAAAAAAAAAAAAUANNNNNNNNNNNNNNNNNNNNNNNNNNNNNNNNNNNNNNNNNNNNNNNNNNNNNNNNNNNNNNNNNNNNNNNNNNNNNNNNNNNNNNNNNNNNNNNNNNNNCGGGAUUGUCCCUCUUCCAUUCGCGGGCCCUACUGACACGUGGCGGCCCGCGAUUGGUUAAUUUUUUUUUUUGUUUUUUUUUUUUAAAUUCUGUAAAAAGGAAAAAAAAAAGAAAAAAAAAAUUUGGGAUCUAUAUCGGUCCCUCCGAUGCACAUGUCCUAAGUCUGACUGAGAUUUUGUGCAAGUCCCCUGAGGAACUCUCCAAUGCUGAUCUGGCCGAGGCAUAUUCUAUACUACGUUUUGUGACAAAAGCAGGUUAUAAGUUGGCUUGGUUGGAGAAGAAACUGAAAGAUUCUGGUGUGACUCGGCUGCAAGAAAUUAAGGAAGAGGUGAAAGACUUGAAGGUGAAGUGUGCAGACAUAAAUGCUCUGCUUGAGUUCUUAGAAUGAUGUUCGGUGAUUAAUAGGGAAAAGAGUUGGGAUUUAGAGUGCUUUUUAAACUUGGAACAUCAAGAGGACUUGGUUAUCGUUGUUAAGGUUUCACUAUCUUUUAUUUACUAUUGCACUCUGUUUCUUGAUGGAAAAGUAAUCAUAAAUGUUUUGUUGUUUUUAUGUCCGAACUAGUCUAUUACAGUUGGCUCACAAAGAUAGUAAAUCUGAAUUCAUUUUCACUAGUCACUACAAUGAUGCUCAAGGAAAAUCAAAAACACGAUCAAGAAGCAGAAGAUAACCAAAGGAUAACACAAACACAUAUUUGCGUUGUAACAUAUAUACUUAUAAAUAUUCGCAUGUGCACUGACAUAUCAGAAUGUCAAGACUCCUGUAGAGUACCGUAGAACCCAUUCAACAGCUCCAAACACAUUUGCAUGUACGAUGACGAGUUUCCUUGCUCUCCGAAUAUCUCAAACGCAGCAGCUCUCAUCUCUUGAUGCACUUUCUUGAGGACCUUUUCAUUUUCUGAUCUUUACUCAUCAUGCAGCUUUACAAAAAGUCAAACUUAAAAAAAAAAACCAGCUUAAAAGGAAGAUAAUUUUCUCCUUAUAGAAUACAAUAUAUGGCGGGGCUCAUAACCUAAUUGUUGAACAACCAAACAUAUCUUUGAUUGUCAAAAAGUUGCAAAAUAACUGGGGACAAACAAAAACAUCAUAUACAACUGCUUAAGAUCAUGUCCCCAAUAGUUUGAUGAUCAUCAAAUCGUAAUUGCUUCAUCAGAUUAAUCUCUGAAUAAUUUGUCCGCAAAAAAGGAAAAAAAUGGAAAAGAGACAAAACGCAAGAUUCGUGUUGUUUUAUUAUUUUAACAAACAAUGUUUGUUUUUACAUGUACAUAAUUAUGUUGGGCUUUAUUAUUGAUUUUUUUUUAAGAAAAAACUUAAUAAUUUGUAGAUAAAUUCAAAAUAAAGACAAACUUAUGGCAUUGUAAUGUAUAACAUUCUAAUAUAUAUGCUAUAAAACAGAAAAUGACAAAAAUAAUUACGAAAAUAACAAAUUUUUUGAGUCAAUUUAAAUAUAGAAGAAGAAAAAAAACAUUGAGAAAUAUAUUUUUUCAUCUUCAACAAUUUUAAUUAGGACUCGACGUUGUUGGCUGAGAGCCAUGCAUGCACUUGCCAGCCCAAGAUAAAGCCUCAUCCACGACUCUCCUCCUCUCAAGAGAGCAAGUUUUUUUUUCAAUACUCCAUUCAUCUCAUUCGAUGUCCCUGCCCUCUACAUAGCUCCUAUUCGUCCUUUGGCCUAGUUUUUCUUAUCCUCGAUUGAGAGUAUUCAAUGAUGUAAUCCAGAGCAGAUGUAACUUAUACAUUUGAUCAUUUAUUGUGUGUGCCUGUAAAACUAUAACAACACUAACUGAUGAAUUCCUCCUUUCGUUACAGGUUCAAACAUUAAAGGACAAUUAAAAGACAUGGAGAAAGAACAAGCAAGCUUAAAAGACAUCGAAGCUUGUUUGUUCUUUCUCCAUGUCUUUUAAAUUUUCCUUCAAGUUUGAACCUGCAAUGAUAAGAUGAAUCUAUCGGUUAGUGUUGUAAUAGGCAGACACAAUAAAUAAUUAAUGUAUAGGUUACUUCGGUGAUCACUGGUCUAAUGUUUACACCUUCACAUAGACUGAUAGACACAUAAAGGCCACUUUAAGAGUUCUUUCCAACACUCUUUUCGUGAAAACGCCUUGAUAACUAAUUUGACCUACAAAACAAGAUCAAGAGAUUCUAGUUUUGGGGAUGACUCUCGAUUAAAAGGUGAUGAUGAUAAGGAAUUGAGAAGGAAUGAGAUUUGGGGUCCGAAACAAGAGGGGUUUAUAUAAAACUAGAGGAUUAGAGAUAAGAUCAGAUUUGGAUUACAGCUAGCAAAAGGAAAUCAAAAGUUUGACUGAAGGGUUUUUGAUAAGGUAAGCAUAACAAAAGACACGUAAUCCAUGUCUGCAUUAUAAAUGUUACUUAUCUCUCAAGCUCUUAAGGGUAAUAAUUUGGUAAUAUCAUAUGGUAUUAAAUUUUCUUACAGAAACUUCACCAAAUAAAAAAAGUUUUAUAGGAAGGUUAUCUAUGUUUGACUAUAAAUUUAUUAUACUAUUUAUAUUUUAAUAAUUUUUUUUUUUGAACUCUAAAUAAACAUGCUCUACGUAAAAUUUUGAAUGGUUAUUUCAAAAGAUAUAAACAUAUUGUAGAAUACAAAAAUGUCAUGAAAUAAUGAAGCUUAAAGGUCAAUUUGUGUUGACUAGAUUUCGGUUUGGAUCCGGUUAAAAUUUAAGACGAGAAAACAGAUUUGCGGAAUAAAAUAUUAAAUACCAGUGACUACAGUACAAGUGUAAAACCAAGAGACCUGAAAAAAUAUUCAAGAAGUCUCACUAAAUGAUUGUUACAGUGCUUAAGUACUCUUUCUUGGUGCUACAAUAAGCAUGGAACCGGUCUUCAUUAACCGUACCAAACCCGGAAAGCUCAAUGCCAAAAGCUGCAAGCCUACGAGUGUCCCUUUGGAUGGGCGAUUGCCAUAAACCGUCCCACCAACCGGGAGGUGCGAGCGGCGUGAAGGCACAUUGGUUUGGCUGUUUUGGACAGCUUAACGGUCCAGCGUAUCUGUUCCAUACAUGUCCCCAACCCACCUGGUUUUUCAGACCGUCUGCUAAUAAGUUGCUCUGGAAGCUACUCAGGAAAGCAAAGCUCGAGUUGCUCGAACCGUCCUCUGUAAAUUAACCAGUUAAAAAACCAGUCAAGUAGUAGUAUUAAUGACGACUGAGAAAUGAAAAGAGACGCAAGUGUUGAGGAAACUAAGGUAAGGUCUUAACUGAGACUAUUUGCAGCAGCUAAUGCAGCAACCAAUUGAGCAUAUGUGGUCCCGACUCGCCUGUUAGCACCGGAUAUCACCGCCUGUUGUGCACGGCAUGCGAGGAAGAAAUCUACAAAUGCAACCCAUCUCGGUGCAGGACCCCAAUCUUUUAUUCUGAAAUCUAACAUUGGCAAUCCGCGGCCACGUUGGGAGAUGUCACCUCUGAAAAGCUUAUAGUCAAAAUGUAGAACCUGCAAACCAUUGCAACUGUUUUAGUCCGGCAAUGAAAUUGGAGAAUCUAUUGGAAAGAUUAUAGCAAGUGCGAGUUUAAUAGAUCAUUAAUACCUCCGCAAUUGCGCUGAUAUUUGUUUUGAUAGUUUUCACUACAGAUGGUGUGUCAGACACUAUAACUACUCUCGGUUUUGAUAUGCCAAGUCUGUUAAUUGCUUUCCCUAGACAGUUUAUCGCUGCACGUAUAGGUCGAACAGAUCUGGAGAAAUCAUGAAACGGAAGAUUAGUAAGCCAUCUAGUGAAAAAAAAACAUACUUGAGUUGUAACAUACUUGCUCAUCAACAUGCGCAUGUGCACUGAAAUAUCAGGAUCUCCAGUCUCCUUUAGAACCCAGUCAACUGCUUCUUUCACAUCUUUCGUGGGAGAAAUGAGACUCAUCAUCAAUUCUCCAAACACAUUUGCUUUUGGUGCUGAGUUUCCUUGCUCUCCAAAUAACUCAAAUGCAGCAGCUCUCAUCUCUGGAUGCACAUUCUUGAGGAAAAACUGAGCUGCCACAGCGUCUGUAGUGCCCUGAAACCUGAAAACCAAAUGUUACGCUUAGUUAAUGAUUAUAACUUCACAAAAUGGACAAAAAAGUUGUAUCUUUUGUUUCCUUCUCACUGACCAUAUUAUCGGUUCUUCCCAUUUCUUCCAAUUACUGCAUAAGACAUUACUCUUAGCCGGCUUCUCGAAAUCAUCCAAUCUCAUUACAAGCCGCCUUCUAUAUUUCUUCACGCAGCCAUUUUGUCGCCACAGAUGCUUCACUUCAGUCAUGGUAAGUGUAGCAUUGGAGUAAGCAAUGUAAUCACCAAAAGGAUAUCUACCCCUGAGGAUCAAUAAACAGAGAAAGAAAUAUAAACAAGACAAAUAACACAAACUACAGCAAGCAAAGUAACAGCUCAGGUUCUGAAUCAGUUAAUAUAGUUCCCAAGAAAUAGAGAAAAAGGAUUGAGAAAGAACCAAUAUAUGCCUGGUCUGGCCAAUGAUCAAGGAUCUGUUCAACAUUAUGCUCAAUGCCGCUGAGGUUAAGAUCUUGUACAUUUCGUUCCCAAAUCCAGCUUCUGCUGUUUUCCCCAGAACAUAACCAUGUUUACAAAAUUGCUCCGGAGGCAGCUCACGAACAGCUGAAGCGCCUGCAAACCACAAGAAUCAUCUUCAUCAUCAUCAUUCAUACAUACAAGCACUAGUUUUCCAGACAUUAAUCUAGAGCAAGCGGAAUAAAAAUACACACUUUGUUAAAUCAGAGUAAUCGGAUUCAAAAAAUCUUGCUUUCACUAAACAAGUAACUAGCCAAACACUAACCAAUCGAUUCAAACACACAAUUUCUCACCAUUAAUUUGAAAAUGGCGACGGAUAACAUCUCUAACUCUGAGACUUUGAUCCACGAAACCACCAUCGAACUCGCUUCCCAUCUCUUCUACCGUCGCACAGAGCCUACCUCCAUCGACCUUAGCAUCUCCAAUCGAAGAGGAGUUGCUCCAUCUCGCAGCCUCCUCGGAUUCCGAACCGGCGUCGUCGUCGUCGUCAUCGAUGAAAGACGAGUUAGGAUCCACGGAACGGAGAGUGAGCAACAACAAGCCAAAACCGAUAAAGAAAAUCACAGAUGAUAAAAGAAUCGUUGUCUUCCCGAACAAUCGCUUCCGUCUGGAUCCACCGCGUUUCAUCUCUUCCUCAUCGUUUCUUCUCCGUCGUGGGAGCUUUGGAUGCGAUCGGCACGGCGCCGUUUUUGAUACGUUCGUGUCGGUGGCCGUUAAACUACUUCAACGGGUCAAUUUUUUAACACUACACUGGGCCUAACUAUAGCUAUUAAAGUCAAAUUUUUAACACUAUACUGGGCCUAACUAUAGCUAUUAAAGGCCCAUAACUUAUAUAGGCUUGGUCUUAUGAAGCCAUGAAUGGUUGUUGGUUUUUAAAUAGUUUUUAGAUUAUGGUUUUUGGUUUUUAACUUUUGGUUUUUGAUUUUAGGUUUUUAAUUUUGCAAUAUAUAUUAUUUUUUGGUUUUUUUAUAUUUUAUUAGAAGUGUUGUUAGUAUUUUCUUAAAAUCUCAAAUAUGUGGAUUUUGGUUUCCAUUAAAAAUUGUUAAGAAAACAGAAGGGUGUAUUCAAAAUGGAAUUUUAAGAGAUUUGAGUUUUAUUGAGUUUUUAAAUGAUUUUGAUUAUUUUAGGGAAGUUCAUAUGACUUUUGUAAAAUUCUUUCAAAUCUCACCAAAAACCAUGGGAUUUGGAUUUCUGUAUUUUUAACUAAGGAAAUCUAUUACCAUUCAAGGCACGAGACUUCAUAAGCUUAGAGGCAUUUUUCUUGUUUUGUGCCCAAGUGGUUCAUCUACAUCAAUAAUAAUAGGAUUGGCUACUAAAUAAUAAAUAGUUUGAGUAGUAUAUAAUCGUAUUUUCAAACUCACGUGAAUUAGUAUAUAAUUCAUGAGAAAAUUGUAUUCUCUGCCAUGAACAGUGUCAUUUCUUCUAAGAAAUGCCACUUUCAUUCCAAUCUUCUAAGAAAUGCCAUAGGAUCCACUUUAACUUAUUAAAAUGUCAAUUCUAUCCCUCACUCAAACUUUCUCUCUUUUCUUUCAUUUUUUCUCAUCUGUUUCUUUCUCUUCUUCUUUCAUUUUUUCUUUCUUUCUUUCUCUUCUUCUUUCAUCUUAUCUUUCUUCAACAACAAACAAAUUUCUCUACAAUUUCGGCAGACUAGUUCCGGCGAACCAUUUCUGGUGGACCAGUUCCGGCGGACCAGUUGCAGUUCCGGCGGACCAGUUGCAGUUCCGGUGGACCAGUUCCAGUUCCGGCGGACCAGUUCCAGUUCCAACGGAAUAUAACCAGUCUCAGUAGACCAUAUCUGAUAGACGAGAUAUGACAGACCAGUUUCGAUGGACCAAUUCUGGAGUAUCAGAUCCGGCAAACCAGUUUCAGUGGAUCAUAUCAGGUGAAGAAGUUACAGCGGACCAUAACCAGUUUUGAUGGACCAGAUCUGGUGGACCAGAAUCGGUAGACCAAACUUGUCCAUCCUACAGAUUUCUUGAAACCACAAGAAAUUAAGCAGAAGAUAAAACAAAUGAUGCUUCUAUGGAAGAUAUCAUCAAUGAUCCAUCUAGGUAUACACUUUCGAUCACACAUUUGUGCGUUGAUGGACUAGAUUCGGUGGACUAGAUCUGAUGUCUGUAAUAUGUCCAUUUUUUGUUUCUUAAUUUGUUGUCCAUUAUACGUAUAUAGUAAAAGCAAAGAGUAUCGGCACAAAAAAAAACUUGUCUAUUAAUUAAUGUCCAUAAUUGAUUUAUGUUUUUUUGUCUUCUUUCUUUGAGGGCAUUUUUGUCUUUUUAUUUUACAAUAAAAAUGAAUAUGGCAUUUUACAAAAUACAAAGUUGAAAGUGGCAGUUUUAAAAGUUUGAGUUUUGAAAGUGGCAUUUUACAUAAAAUUCCCAUAAUUCAUUUUCACAGAAAAACUAAAUUCUUUGAAUAAAAAAAAAGUAUAGAUCACUUAACUACGUCACAACAUCAAUCUUAAUUACGCAAGUAGUUUUCAGCAAACUUUUAAGUUUUAGUUUUCGGGAAACUCUUUAGAUAUUUUUGAUUAUUUUCUAAUAGAUAUUUUAACAAUAAAACAAUAUUUUAUUUUGUAUUAGGUUAAUCUAAAAUUCUCCACUAACUUUUUAGGGGGUGUUAUUGGAUUCUAACUUAUAAAGAAUUUGGAUGACUCUGCUAAAAUCAUAGAUUGUAUGAUUUUAAAGGAUUGUCUGAGAGUUUUAUAUAAUCUUAUUGAUUAGUUUUUUUAAAGUCUUGUAGAGUCUCUCAAACAAUCUCUGUAUUUAUAAGAUACUUUUCAUGACUUUAUUUUGUAAAGAAGAGUGUUUAAAAUCAUAAACCAAUAACAUAAAAUUUUAAUUCAUUAACAAUCAGAGAUUCUUUUGUUUUAAUUGAAUAACACAGAACUUUUAAUGACUUUGUAAAACUCUGUAUCCAAUAAUCCCAUAUUUAUGAAGAUUUUAAAUGACUCUUUACAAAUAAAUAACUAAUAACACCAAACUUUAAAAGAGUUUUGUAAAAUCUUGAUUGAAUAACAAUAGAUUCUACCUAACAUAUAAAGUCAUUAAAACUCCAUAUAACUCACAAACCAAUAACACCCCCUUAUUCUUUAAUUAGCGAUUUGUAAUUGUGAAUCUACUAAAACUGCGAUCACGGAUGCUCUGCAAUGACAAAUUUUUAAACAGAUAACCUAAAUUUCUUAACAUUCAAUGCUAAGUUAGAUAAGCCAAAUAUAAUUGUUAAUGGGGAAUCCAAAGCGCCUCCAUUUCACGAUAAGAAAUCCAUCGUAAUGCUCAUAAAGUCAAGUAAUCAGUAAAUAUUUUAAGGUUCAGUUUUUUCAGUAAGCUUUGUAGGUUCUACUGUAAAUGUUGGUAGAAAGAGUUGGUGCCGAAAUUUUUUUCACCAAAAAAAUUCUAUUAACAUUUACACAAAAAAGUUAUUUGUAAGAAGAUUUUAAAAAUCACCAAAAUAACAAUACAAUUCUAAAUACUGUAACAAUUUAUAAUUCAUGAAUAUCUUUUUUUUUUUUGUCAUCCAAUGAAUACUUAAAUCUCAAAAUUUUGAAAGUUACAAAAAAACCUAUCAACCAAUAAUUUUCUUAGAUGACUUUUUAAAUUCAAUAAUGUUAAUGAUCAUUGCUUAAAAACUUACAGUUGGAUGUUUUAAAUUUUAUGCAUUUAAUUUUCGUAGACAGUUAUAAGCUUUUAUAUACAGUUGGAUGUUUUAAAAUUUAUGUUGACUCUCGUUACCGAUAUCUUUUUGAUUUACUAUAAAGAAGAAACUGCCGAUCCAUUAAUAACUUUGUGUUUUGUUGAGAAACUAACAUGUGUUCCUUGAAACAUUCAUAACAUGAUUUUUUUUUUUUUUUAAUCCUUUGAAAUCUCCAUUGAAAUAUAAUGCUACGAAAAAGAAGAAACACCAUGUAUUCCAAAAUAGAUAACAACUUCUCGUUAAGAUAAGAUUAAAACUCCAACGCAAUCAACUUUCAUAUAAGUAAAUGAAGCUUAAUAAAAUUAUUAUUUUGUUGAAAGGUUUUGGAAAAAUGCAAAAUAUCGAAGCAAAAGCUCUUGUUGUUUUAUCAACAGCCGCCAUCGAAAUGUUUUUUUUUUUUUACAUCAUACAAAAUUAGCAUUCCAACUUUAGCAUUAAGUCAAUGCAUUUUCAAUCUCUAAAGGAAUUUUAAAAAAUGAAUUUUCGUUUUGAAUAUGUAAUAUUAUCAAAAAUCUAGUUAAACUAUCUGAUAAUAAGACUAUAUCAACAAGAUCAUAAUCUUUGUCCUUAAACACUUCACACUUCACUCACACAUAUAAAUACCUUGUUAUCUUCCUACUACUAUUUUUUUUUUUUUUUUUGUAACGUAUAAUAUUAUUGAUAAUUAACGAGUUAUGUUACAUGAUAAACCACAAGGAAUAUAAUAAUGAAAUACAAAGGAUUCAUUUAAACGCAGUAGGGACUUAACAAAGAUGAUCUGCUGCUUUGUUACUUGCUCUUAUAAUUCGAGUAAUUAAUAAUUUGAAACUACAUUAAU